UCGAGCGAACGGACGAGAAGCUUGCUUCUCUGAUGUUAGCGGCGGACGGGUGAGUAACACGUGGAUAACCUACCUAUAAGACUGGGAUAACUUCGGGAAACCGGAGCUAAUACCGGAUAAUAUUUUGAACCGCAUGGUUCAAAAGUGAAAGACGGUCUUGCUGUCACUUAUAGAUGGAUCCGCGCUGCAUUAGCUAGUUGGUAAGGUAACGGCUUACCAAGGCAACGAUGCAUAGCCGACCUGAGAGGGUGAUCGGCCACACUGGAACUGAGACACGGUCCAGACUCCUACGGGAGGCAGCAGUAGGGAAUCUUCCGCAAUGGGCGAAAGCCUGACGGAGCAACGCCGCGUGAGUGAUGAAGGUCUUCGGAUCGUAAAACUCUGUUAUUAGGGAAGAACAUAUGUGUAAGUAACUGUGCACAUCUUGACGGUACCUAAUCAGAAAGCCACGGCUAACUACGUGCCAGCAGCCGCGGUAAUACGUAGGUGGCAAGCGUUAUCCGGAAUUAUUGGGCGUAAAGCGCGCGUAGGCGGUUUUUUAAGUCUGAUGUGAAAGCCCACGGCUCAACCGUGGAGGGUCAUUGGAAACUGGAAAACUUGAGUGCAGAAGAGGAAAGUGGAAUUCCAUGUGUAGCGGUGAAAUGCGCAGAGAUAUGGAGGAACACCAGUGGCGAAGGCGACUUUCUGGUCUGUAACUGACGCUGAUGUGCGAAAGCGUGGGGAUCAAACAGGAUUAGAUACCCUGGUAGUCCACGCCGUAAACGAUGAGUGCUAAGUGUUAGGGGGUUUCCGCCCCUUAGUGCUGCAGCUAACGCAUUAAGCACUCCGCCUGGGGAGUACGACCGCAAGGUUGAAACUCAAAGGAAUUGACGGGGACCCGCACAAGCGGUGGAGCAUGUGGUUUAAUUCGAAGCAACGCGAAGAACCUUACCAAAUCUUGACAUCCUU
rnacentral:rRNA from 1 species